CGAAACGUCAUUCAUUUGGUAGGACGGCUUGCGACAGACAUCCUGAAUUUUCCUCACGUACAGCUCCGUUCAUAUAAAAUCGCUAGAAAAUGUCUGCCUGGAGAGCCGCUGGUUUGAACUACAUAAACUACUCGAACAUAUGUGCCCGUCUGGUACGCAAAGCUCUGAAGCAGGAGCAUCAAGCUACCGCUAUCCGACGAGACGAGUCCCACAUUAAGUUCACCAAAUGGAUCAACGGAAAACCAGAAACUGAAAAGUAAACAGCUCUGUAUAGCAUUCAGCUGUACAUUCUUCUUUGGGAUAUAAACAUAGGGGAUUAGGUCAUCGUUGAAAGCACGAAGUAAAUCCGGAUGUUAAGAAACUGUCUUUAGAUUUGUUCGAUAAUAAAAAAAGUGAAGAUUCUCCGAUGAAGGAAAGGUAAA